rnacentral:misc_RNA from 1 species
UACGAAGGGGGCUAGCGGUGCUCGGAUUUACUGGGCGUAAAGCGCACGUAGGCGGAACGUUAAGUCAGAGGUGAAAUCCUGGAGCUCAACUCCAGAACUGCCAUUGGAAACUGGGAGGCUUGAGUAUAGGAGAGAAGAGUGGAAUUCCACGUGUAGCGGUGAAAUGCGUAGAGAUGUGGAGGAACACCAGUGGCGAAGGCGACUCUUUGGCCUAUAACUGACGCUGAGGCGCGAAAGCGUAGGUAGCGAACAGG